ACGUAAUGGAAAAGAAUCCGAAGGCGAAGAAGAAAGAGAAAACCAAAAAGCGACCAACUUUAGAAAACCUAAUGGGUCACAAUCGCAAGGGUGCUGCGAAGGAUAAGAAUCCGAAGGGGGAGGAAUCUGAGAAGCGAGGAACGGUAGAAAAACUAGUGGAUCUGCGCCACGGUGCGGCGGCGGCGAAGGAUAAGAAUCUGAAUGCGAAGAAGAAAACUAAAAAGCCAGGAACUUCAGAAAACCUAGUGAAGGAUAAGAUUCUGAAGGCGGAGGAAACUGAAAAGCCGAGAGUCUCUUUGGCCGAAGCUGCGGCAAAGAUGGAUCCUUCAGAUCUUGCGGAUCACCUCGACGGUAUGAAAUUGCCGGACCUGGAUGUAAUGAGAUUUUACUAUUACUUUCAGAAAGCAUUUGCCCAAGUAUCAUGGAAAUGGGUGAAGAUGUUCAACGAGUCUCCUCUGUCCGCGAUCAUCGAUGUUCCUGUAUCUCAUAUUUCUAAGCCUAUCUACGAAUUAUCAGUAGAUUGGAUCAAGCCACGUGAAGUUAAGUAUAUCUCGGAAAUCAUAUUGUGGAUUUGUGAUCGUAUUCUGUACAAUUUGGUGGAUAAAGGUGGUGACAAUGCUCCAGCUUCUGUUUGGCCCAAAUCUCAGGCAGCGCAUUUUGUUGUACUGGCUAUGGUAUUGCGUGCUAGACCUGAUUCUUUGAUUGAGGUUUUGCCCUCACUGAGGGAUAAACACACGUACCAAGGACCCGACAAGCUUCCCCUUAUAGUUUGGAUGAUGGCUCAGGCCUCCCAAGGUGAUCUAUCUGCUGGCUUGUAUUCAUGGAUGUGUAACUUGCUACCGCUAGUCAGUAAUAACAAGUGCUGCUGCCCUCAGUCACUGGAUCUCAUUCUUCAAUUCGCUGAGUACAUGUUGUCUCGUCCAGAGGCUAUCACUGUGCUUGUAAACAACGGAGGUGGUGUUAUGGAAGGACAGCGUCUGGUUCCACUUCCUUCACUUGACAUCUUGCUGCGCCUCACAUUCCCUGCUCCAUCUGCAAGAGUUGAGACUACAAAGAGGUUUGAGGCAAUUUAUCCCUCUUUGAAGGAAGUGGCUCUUUCUCCAGAGAGGGCAGGAGGUGAAAAAUUUGCCUUGCGUAAUUUAUUCACGUUUGCCUUGACCUUAACUGGAGAAAAAGGGAAUCCUUCUGUUUUAACCAAGGAAGCUACAUCAAUCGCUAUCAGAUCUCUGACCGAAAACAUCGUCUGCUUUGACCACUGGGACAAACUUUAUGUGGAUAAUCCAGUCGCAAGUGUUGCCCUUCUCAAGAAGCUUGUAGACGACAAUCAGUUCCUCAGGCUAUCAACAUCACCAAUUGAUGAUACUCUCAGGGUCAAUCAAAUUAUGGAGAGCUUCAGGCGUAAGAACAAAAGAGCCAUCGCUGAAGGAGGAGCCAAUUGUUUUCUUUACAAAGAAGCUGACAAGUACUGCACACGGGUCUCUUGGAGACUCUUUGGGAGACUCCCGGAUGUUCCUUUAUCUCAUAUUUCUAAGCCUAUCUACGAAUUAUCAGUCGAUUGGAUCAAACCACGUCAAGUUGAGUAUAUCUCGGAAAUCGUAUUGUGGAUUUGUGAUCGUAUUCUGCACAAUUUGGUGAAUAAAGGUGGUGACAAUGCUCCAGCACCUGUUUGGCCCAAAUCUCAGGCGGCGCAUUUUGUUGUAUUGGCUAUGGUAUUGCGUUCUAGACCUGAUUCUUUGAUUGAGGUUUUGCCCUCACUGAGGGAUAAACACACGUACCAAGGACCCGACAAGCUUCCCCUUAUAGUUUGGAUGAUGGCUCAGGUUCGUGUCCUUUCUUUCUUUCCCGACCAAUCUUCCUGUUUGUGUUUGGUGUUUUUGUUUUUGUGAACUGUAAAAUAUGUGAAGCAUCCGUCAGUCAUUGGAUCUCGUCCUGCAGUUGAUUGAGGAGAUUCUGUAGCGCCCUAGGGCUCGGACCAUACUUGUAGAUGGAGCUCUUAGGGAUGGAGAGCCGCUGUUUCCACUUCCUUCAUUUGAGAUCUUGGUGCGUCUCACCUUCCGUGCUCCAUCCGCAAGAGUAAAGUCUACAGAGAGGGUUGAGGCAAUAUAUCUGAUGUAGCGCCAAAUGUGAUCUCCGUCGAUCACAACGGUACAGAGAGGGUUGUCCUCAUGGGACUUUCCUUUUCUUCUUUGAAUUAAGUUAUUUCCUUUUAUUUGUCUGUUUUCACUUAGGAAUAGGAAAUCACGUAAUCCCUUUAGGAUCGUGAAGUUUUUGUUCUUAUAUAAGCUGAGGCUAAUGCCCUCUUGUAAAGCACGCUUUGAUUGAAUAAGACAUUCUUGCCUCACAA